rnacentral:rRNA from 1 species
UACGGAGGGGGCUAGCGUUGUUCGGAAUUACUGGGCGUAAAGCGCACGUAGGCGGCUUUUUAAGUCAGAGGUGAAAGCCCGGGGCUCAACCCCGGAAUUGCCUUUGAGACUGGAUCGCUUGAACGUCGGAGAGGUGAGUGGAAUUCCGAGUGUAGAGGUGAAAUUCGUAGAUAUUCGGAAGAGCACCAGUGGCGAAGGCGGCUCACUGGACUGGUAUUGACGCUGAGGUGCGAAAGCGUGGGGAGCAAACAGG